CCUCAGGAUUUCCGCCGGGAUUUUUGGGAUUUCCUGGGAAUUUCGCCGGAAUAUUCGGGAAUUGCCAGGAAUUACCUGCUGGAAGCGCUCAGGAAUAUUUGCAAUAUUUACAAUAUUUGCAAUAUGCAGGAUUUUUUGGAUUUUUGGCUUUGUUUCGGCUUUACCUGCUGGAAGCGCUCAGGAAUAUUUCCAACAUUUGCAAUAUUUACAAUAUUUUGGAUUUUUUAGGGCCUUUACCUGCUGGAAGCGCUCAGGAAUAUUUGCAAUAUUUGUAAUAUAUCAAAUAUUCGGGAUUUUUGGCUUUGUUUCGCCUUUACCUGCUGGAAGCGCUCAGGAAUAUUUCCAACAUUUGCAAUAUUUACAAUAUUUUGGAUUUUUUGGGGCCUUUACCUGCUGGAAGCUCAGGAAUAUUUCCAACAUUUACAAUAUUUAUCAAAGAUUUGGGAUUUUUUAG
rnacentral:lncRNA from 1 species